CUGGGACUUCCCUGGUGACCCAGAGAUGAAUCCACCUUCCAAUGCCCGGGAUGUGGGUUCAAUCCCUGGUCAGGGAACUAAGAUCCCACGUGCUUCGAGGCAACUAAGGCCACACACCUUAACUACUAAGCCCACAUGCUACAACGAAGAUCCCUCCCGCUUUCAACUAAGAACCGACGCGGCCAAAAAUAAAUAAAUUGGUUUUUUUUUUUUUUUUUUUUUAGUAAAAAGGGGGCUUCCCUGGUGGCUCAGUGGUAAAGAAUCCAUGCCAAAGCAGGAGACGCAGGUUCCCUCCCUGAUCUGGGAAGAUCCCACAUGCCACGGAGCAACAAAGCCCGUGCAGCCCAACUAUUGAGCCUGUGCUCUGGCUCUAGAAGCCUGGAAGCCGCAAGUACCGAGUCCACAGGCCUCAACUACUGAAGCCCAAAUGCCCUAGGCUAUGGCCAUGUGCAGCAAGAAAGAGGCAAUUCCCCAGCAGCUUAUCCGGAAAGAUGGAAACGCUGGACAGAACACAGACCGCCAAUGACCUGUCUUCCCAUCACACUCUUCUCUAAGGGCAAGAUCUAAUCAGACCUGAGGAAUGGCUGAUGGAUGAGAUUUUUUCCACAAAGCCUUGCCCCAGAGGCAGAGCUUCACCACGGGCGGGGCUUGUACCAGCCGCAAACCUGGAGGCUUUCUCCUGUACCUCCCCGGCCGCCUUCGCCUCCCCCUCCUCCCGGUUUUCUGUCUGCCAGUCCCUCGCCACACCCCGCCCACACCAGAUCACCAGGUCACAGUUCCAGCUCCAGAUGAUAAAAUGCCAGGGCUGCAGGGGCCUGGGGCCAGGCUCCUCGAGUGGCUGUCACGACACAUUGUAUCCUCCGAGGAUGUGUCCCCUUUCUACACUGUGACCUUGACAUUUCUCCCAGUGGAGGUGGAAUCUUGCGUCUCUCACCAGACACGUGAAGUGACACCUCAACUUCCAGAGCGAGGUCAGAAAGAGAAGACGCGGUGUCGCCCCUUCCGUGGUGGGGUCUGAACUCAGCGCUGCCUGUCCCUAGCCAGGCCGCCCGUGCCGGGGGGCCGCUGAUGGAAUGACCCCGGAGGGAAGCAGGAGAGAUCUGAGGAGCCAGCCGACCUUGACCUGGGUUCAAGCCCGAUUCUGCCAUUCACUUGGUAUGUGACGUUUACAAGCCGUUUCCCCUCUCCGAGCCUCAGUUUACCUGGCUGUAAAGUGGAGCUCCUUGCCUGAGAUCAAGCAGGAGGGCUGUGCUUACAGUCACCGUGCAGAUGGUCCUGAGACGCACACGGUUCUGAACGCUCGCAGGCACUCAGGUAGCCAAGGGGCCACAGAAGCCCUGUGCUCCGGGUGACCUCCGCCUCACUCCCUCUAGGAGCAGCUGGGUUCUGGGCAGGUGCCCAGGAGAGGAUGGGUUCCCAGCUGGCACUGCCUGGACUGUGGUCAGCCCUGUCCCCAGGUCGCUGCCCCGGCACUUGCCCAGGACACGACUGAAGCCAACCCUGUUGCUGGCCGGGGCCACAAGCUGGGUGGCUGCUGCUGCUGUUACUCAGUCGUGUCCGACUCCUCGCGACCCCGCGGGCUGCAGCACGCCAGGCUUCCCGGUCCUACACCGUCUCCCGGAGGAGACUCACGUCCCUUGAGUCAAUGAUGCUGUCCAGUCGUCACCCUCUGUCACCCAGACAGCAGAAAUGGACUCGCUCACGGCUCAGGCCAGAAGUUCAAAAUCAAGGUGUCAGCAGAGCUGGUUCUGUCUCUGGGGCCGCGACGGAGAAUCUGCUCUGGGCCUCACUUCCAGCUUCUGGUGGCGGCCGACAUUCUUGGCAUUUCUUGGCUUAAAGCUGCUUUACUCUGAUCUCUGCCCCCGUCAUCACCAGGCCGUCCACCCUCUGUCUGUGUGGCCUCCCCUGGCGUCCCCUCUCUGCGUGGUUCUGUCCCAGGCUUUCUCCUGCUUGUUUGUUUAUUUUGGCCGCGCUGGGUCCUCCUUGCUGUGCACGGGCUUUCUCUAGUUGCAGCGAGUGGGGGCGCCUCUCUGGCUGCUGCUCGGACUUCUCAUUGAGGAGGCUUCUCUUAUUCCGGACCACAGGCUCUGGGUGCACGGGCUUCAGGAGCUGCAGCUCGUGGGGCUCUGGAGCACAGCCUCAGGAGCUGGGGCGCACGGCCUUCGUUGCCCCAAGACAUGUGGAAUCUUCCCGAACCAGUGAUCGACCCCAUGUCCCCGGCACUGACAGACGCAUGCUUAACCACUGAACUGCCAGGGAAUCCUUGCCUCCUCUUUUUUUUAUCAUUUUAUUUUAUUUAUAUAUUUUUGGCUGGGUCUCUGCUGCCGCACACAGGCUUUCUCCAGCUGUGGUGGGUGGGGACCGCUCUUCGCUGCCAUCACAGGCUUCUCAUCACGGAGCUGGCUUCUCUCGGCUCGGCUCACAGGUGCGGUAGUUGUGGAGCACGGGCUUAGUCGCUCUGCGGCAUGUGGGAUCUUCCCAGAGCAGGGGUCGAAGCCGUGUCCCCUGCAGGAGGCUUCUUAAUCACUGGGCCACCAGGGAAGUCCUCGUCUCCUCUUCUCACAAGGCCAUCAGUCGUGCUGGAUUAAAGGCCCAUCCUACUCCAGUGUGACCCCCCUCUUAACUGAUGACAUCAGCAAUGACCCUCUGUCUAAAUAAGACCGCAUACUGAGGUUCCAGGGCACAGGACUUGAACGCAUCUUUGUGGGACACAGAAUCCCACCCACAACGCCGACCUUGGGCCCUUGACCCCCGCCUUAUCCCAGAGCCAGGACACAAUUGGAAGUCCCUCCUGCAGAAGGACUGGGGUCCUCCAGCUGGCCACGAGGCAGGAGAGGAGACUGAGGUCUCGAAGUGUAGGGGCAGCGCACACAUUCCCCUCCUAAAGGGAGGGUCUGCAAUCAGAAGCUGCCGUGACUUGGGGGGCUUCCCUUGGUCAGGGCAGGCAGAAGGGACAGGAAGUUGCCCACCCAGCAACCCUCGACUAGAGGGCAUCCACGCCCCCUGCUGGGUUCUACACCGUCUCCAGAGUCCCCAGCAAGCUGAGCCCGGGUGGGGGGAGGGAGAGGGAAGGACUGGGAGUUUGGGGCUGGUUGGUGGAUGCAAACAGUCUCAUUUAGAAUGGAUAAACAAGGUCCUCCUGGACAGCACAGGGAACUACAUCCAAUCUCCAGAGAGAAACCAUAAUGGAAGAGACUAUUAGAAAAAAGAAUGAGGACGUCCUUGGUGGUCUUGCUUCUUAUGUGGCCACAGAUAACAGUGGCUAAGAUGCUGCCAAUGCAGGGGGCCCAGGUUCGAUCGAUCCCUGAUCAGGCAGUUGGAAUCCCGCAUGCUGCAACUAAGAUCCGGCACCACCAAAUAAGUAAAAAUAAAUAUUAAAGACUCAAGAAAUAAAUUACCACUCUUGAAAAAAGAAUGUAUAUAUGUGUGUAACUGAGUCACGUAACUGUACAACAACAUUGUAAAUCAACUAUACUCCAAUUUUUUAAAAAUGAUAAAGGACUUCCUGGUGGUGCAGUGGUUAAAAAUUCGCCUGCUGAUGUGGAGGACCCGGGUUCAAUCCCUGGUCCAGGAAGAUUCCACGAGCCUUGGAGCAGCUAAGCCCAUGUGCCACAACUACUGAGCCUGCGUUCCGCAACCGGAAACACCCCUGCAGUGAGAAGCCUUCAAGUCGCCACUAAAGACUGUGUGCGGCAGCAAAGACGCAGCGCAACCAAAAAAAUAAAAAUAAUAAAUAAGUAAUUUUUAAUUAUUAAAAACCCAAUUGCACACCU